UACAGAGGGUGCGAGCGUUAAUCGGAAUUACUGGGCGUAAAGCGUGCGUAGACGGUUAUUUAAGUCGGGUGUGAAAGCCCCGGGCUCAACCUGGGAAUUGCAUUCGAGACUGAAUAGCUAGGGUACGGUAGAGGGAAGUGGAAUUUCCGGUGUAGCGGUGAAAUGCGCAGAUAUCAGGAGGAACACCGGUGGCGAAGGCGGGUCUCUGGGCAACAACUGACGCUGAGGAGCGAAAGCGUGGGGAGCGAACAGG
rnacentral:rRNA from 1 species